rnacentral:rRNA from 1 species
GGUUAAGCGACUAAGCGUACACGGUGGAUGCCCUGGCAGUCAGAGGCGAUGAAGGACGUGCUAAUCUGCGAUAAGCGUCGGUAAGGUGAUAUGAACCGUUAUAACCGGCGAUUUCCGAAUGGGGAAACCCAGUGUGUUUCGACACACUAUCAUUAACUGAAUCCAUAGGUUAAUGAGGCGAACCGGGGGAACUGAAACAUCUAAGUACCCCGAGGAAAAGAAAUCAACCGAGAUUCCCCCAGUAGCGGCGAGCGAACGGGGAGGAGCCCAGAGCCUGAAUCAGUGUGUGUGUUAGUGGAAGCGUCUGGAAAGGCGCGCGAUACAGGGUGACAGCCCCGUACACAAAAAUGCACAUGCUGUGAGCUCGAUGAGUAGGGCGGGACACGUGGUAUCCUGUCUGAAUAUGGGGGGACCAUCCUCCAAGGCUAAAUACUCCUGACUGACCGAUAGUGAACCAGUACCGUGAGGGAAAGGCGAAAAGAACCCCGGCGAGGGGAGUGAAAAAGAACCUGAAACCGUGUACGUACAAGCAGUGGGAGCACGCUUAGGCGUGUGACUGCGUACCUUUUGUAUAAUGGGUCAGCGACUUAUAUUCUGUAGCAAGGUUAACCGAAUAGGGGAGCCGAAGGGAAACCGAGUCUUAACUGGGCGUUAAGUUGCAGGGUAUAGACCCGAAACCCGGUGAUCUAGCCAUGGGCAGGUUGAAGGUUGGGUAACACUAACUGGAGGACCGAACCGACUAAUGUUGAAAAAUUAGCGGAUGACUUGUGGCUGGGGGUGAAAGGCCAAUCAAACCGGGAGAUAGCUGGUUCUCCCCGAAAGCUAUUUAGGUAGCGCCUCGUGAAUUCAUCUCCGGGGGUAGAGCACUGUUUCGGCAAGGGGGUCAUCCCGACUUACCAACCCGAUGCAAACUGCGAAUACCGGAGAAUGUUAUCACGGGAGACACACGGCGGGUGCUAACGUCCGUCGUGAAGAGGGAAACAACCCAGACCGCCAGCUAAGGUCCCAAAGUCAUGGUUAAGUGGGAAACGAUGUGGGAAGGCCCAGACAGCCAGGAUGUUGGCUUAGAAGCAGCCAUCAUUUAAAGAAAGCGUAAUAGCUCACUGGUCGAGUCGGCCUGCGCGGAAGAUGUAACGGGGCUAAACCAUGCACCGAAGCUGCGGCAGCGACGCUUAUGCGUUGUUGGGUAGGGGAGCGUUCUGUAAGCCUGCGAAGGUGUGCUGUGAGGCAUGCUGGAGGUAUCAGAAGUGCGAAUGCUGACAUAAGUAACGAUAAAGCGGGUGAAAAGCCCGCUCGCCGGAAGACCAAGGGUUCCUGUCCAACGUUAAUCGGGGCAGGGUGAGUCGACCCCUAAGGCGAGGCCGAAAGGCGUAGUCGAUGGGAAACAGGUUAAUAUUCCUGUACUUGGUGUUACUGCGAAGGGGGGACGGAGAAGGCUAUGUUGGCCGGGCGACGGUUGUCCCGGUUUAAGCGUGUAGGCUGGUUUUCCAGGCAAAUCCGGAAAAUCAAGGCUGAGGCGUGAUGACGAGGCACUACGGUGCUGAAGCAACAAAUGCCCUGCUUCCAGGAAAAGCCUCUAAGCAUCAGGUAACAUCAAAUCGUACCCCAAACCGACACAGGUGGUCAGGUAGAGAAUACCAAGGCGCUUGAGAGAACUCGGGUGAAGGAACUAGGCAAAAUGGUGCCGUAACUUCGGGAGAAGGCACGCUGAUAUGUAGGUGAAGUCCCUCGCGGAUGGAGCUGAAAUCAGUCGAAGAUACCAGCUGGCUGCAACUGUUUAUUAAAAACACAGCACUGUGCAAACACGAAAGUGGACGUAUACGGUGUGACGCCUGCCCGGUGCCGGAAGGUUAAUUGAUGGGGUUAGCGGUAACGCGAAGCUCUUGAUCGAAGCCCCGGUAAACGGCGGCCGUAACUAUAACGGUCCUAAGGUAGCGAAAUUCCUUGUCGGGUAAGUUCCGACCUGCACGAAUGGCGUAAUGAUGGCCAGGCUGUCUCCACCCGAGACUCAGUGAAAUUGAACUCGCUGUGAAGAUGCAGUGUACCCGCGGCAAGACGGAAAGACCCCGUGAACCUUUACUAUAGCUUGACACUGAACAUUGAGCCUUGAUGUGUAGGAUAGGUGGGAGGCUUAGAAGUGUGGACGCCAGUCUGCAUGGAGCCGACCUUGAAAUACCACCCUUUAAUGUUUGAUGUUCUAACGUUGACCCGUAAUCCGGGUUGCGGACAGUGUCUGGUGGGUAGUUUGACUGGGGCGGUCUCCUCCUAAAGAGUAACGGAGGAGCACGAAGGUUGGCUAAUCCUGGUCGGACAUCAGGAGGUUAGUGCAAUGGCAUAAGCCAGCUUGACUGCGAGCGUGACGGCGCGAGCAGGUGCGAAAGCAGGUCAUAGUGAUCCGGUGGUUCUGAAUGGAAGGGCCAUCGCUCAACGGAUAAAAGGUACUCCGGGGAUAACAGGCUGAUACCGCCCAAGAGUUCAUAUCGACGGCGGUGUUUGGCACCUCGAUGUCGGCUCAUCACAUCCUGGGGCUGAAGUAGGUCCCAAGGGUAUGGCUGUUCGCCAUUUAAAGUGGUACGCGAGCUGGGUUUAGAACGUCGUGAGACAGUUCGGUCCCUAUCUGCCGUGGGCGCUGGAGAACUGAGGGGGGCUGCUCCUAGUACGAGAGGACCGGAGUGGACGCAUCACUGGUGUUCGGGUUGUCAUGCCAAUGGCACUGCCCGGUAGCUAAAUGCGGAAGAGAUAAGUGCUGAAAGCAUCUAAGCACGAAACUUGCCCCGAGAUGAGUUCUCCCUGACUCCUUGAGAGUCCUGAAGGAACGUUGAAGACGACGACGUUGAUAGGCCGGGUGUGUAAGCGCAGCGAUGCGUUGAGCUAACCGGUACUAAUGAACCGUGAGGCUUAACCUU